rnacentral:tRNA from 1 species
GCCGACGUAGCUCAGUUGGUAGAGCAGUAGUUUUGUAAACUAUUGGUCGUGGGCUCGAGUCCCUCCGUCGGCUCCA